AGGCAAAUUACUGGUUCACAUAGUAACUCUAUGUUUAUUUAACCUUUUGAGGAACUGCCAGGCUAUUUUCCAAAGUAACCGCACCAUUUUACAUUCUCACUAGUGAU
rnacentral:pre_miRNA from 1 species